GCAGCAGAUAUUCGUGCGCACAGACAUGUGCAUUGCACUUACACAUUCACAACUCUGCCAAAACGCUCAGGAAGUUGUGGAAUAAUUCGGUUGUUAACUAUGUACAUUUUUUAAGGAAGAAAAAAAAUCUAUUUAGCUUUCUAUGAGACGAUUUACAGAGGGAAGUGCAGAUGCCUUCAUGUACGUCGGCUUCUUUGGGGGUCACAGUCUAUUCCAGAGAGCCAGAACGCGUAAUUUUAUGAAGUAUAGCAUUUCCAAACACAGCGCAUCAAAUCGAUGGCUGUGCAGACUCCAUCCACGUAGACUCAGCACACGAGGCUCAGCCCUAAGCUCGCUCUUCCCGGCAGUUUUAAAACAAGGCACCAAUUAUUUAUAAGUCACAUAAUUAGAUAACCAUCACUCUUGAACUUUCCACCAGCUAAGAAUGUUUUAUCUUUCUCAACUGGGCACUGCUUACUGCCCUUCUUUGGUGUGUGUUUUCACUGCUCAUACCAUUCCUCUCCACCAAAACUCCACCAACUGCCCGAGACACCUCUCUCGUCCCCCGGCCCGAGUGCAGACAGCGGCCGAGCCGAUUGAAGACCACUGGAGUUAACCGCUGGUUAUGGGAACGGCCGGGGAGGAUCAGUGAGGAAGUUUGGUAAACUUGGAACAGCUGCCUCUUAGAAGCCAGCGUGUUUUAGCCCAGCUUUAACCUUGUUCUCUCCCGAGCAGCGUGUUGAUGUUUCGCCACUUGCUGACUGCAAGCAAGGCAGGGAGCGGCGUGCGCCGGGGUGCCCGUGCGGCUGCUCUCGCCCUCCGUUCGCACCGGCUCGCUGCUCUCCGGGGCUCAGCCCCGGGGACCGAGCGGCCCCGGCCUCUCUCCUCUCGCCCCAGCUCCGGCCCUGCUCUGCCGGCGCCUCCCUUUCGAGCGGGGCAGAGGAGCCGACGGGGACCUGCAUGUCCUCGCCGGCCGAGUGCCCCGGACCCGCGGGCAGGGCCGGGCACCGGCGAGCCGGGGCCUUGGGAGCCGCCGGCUGCCGGGCAGUGCUGCUGUCGGGGGCGGCGGCACGGCGGGGCCGGGGGUCUCACCGGGCCCGGGCAGCCCCCGCCGGCACGGGCGGCCCGCGGGAGCCCCACGGAGGCGCCGGCCGGCCCCGGGCGCGGGGGACGCGGCGGCCCGCGGCCGGUUCCGCCCGUGCCAGGGCACAGCCUUCCCUCUGCCCCGCGCCCCGCGGCGCCCAUCGAAAUGCGGGAGGUACUUCGCUUUCUCCCGGCGAAGAACAAAGAAGCAGCAGCUUUCAUUAAGGCUGGACCAGAUGAAUACGGAUCUGACAAGUUUGUUUAAAAACCCCACUGCCCACGCCCGAAAACGAUACUGCGCUUCUGUAAAAUACAAAGUGUUGUCAAUAACCAUUAUAGCAGCGAUAAUGAUCUGAGAAGAGAACAAAGACAUUUUGUAAUAUCUACAUAACUUUAUUAGAGCAAAAUUAUUUUAAAAUGCCUGCGAAUUCCCAAACCUCCUGAAUACAAAUGAAUAAAAGUUUUUCUUCGGGCUAAAAUCUUUGCUUGAAUGUAAAUUGUUUGGGUAAGUGAAUUCGCACAGCAGCAAAGUUUGUUUGUCUUAGUCCAGUAGCUUUGCUUUAACGAACCAGAUGUUUUGUCUGUAAAUUGUCCAGAGAACUUUCACAGUUCUGACAUGUAAUAAGCCCCAGAAAAUCAGAACUAGAAUAGCUGCGUCCCUGCGAUUAGGACCAGGCAUUUCGGGAAGAGCAUGGGGAAAAUAGGAAAGUGUAAGCACGCUCAGUGUCCUCCUAUUUGGAAACCUCAUUUUAAACUGGUGAAUUGUUCAUCUCCCCUUCCUAUACACACAGUCUUGUCCCUUGGUUGGACUACCAGGGACAUCAAGGAAGCUGCCUUUGCUUUGCAGGAUUGAACCUUCUUGGGGCCACAUGCAGGAUUUUUCUCCUCCUGGGAUGACGAGAGCUGUGGCAGUGUGUGCACAUUGUGUCAGACCUGAGAUCAGCUGCCAAGUGUGGACACCCACAGAAGGAUUUUCUUUACAGAACUAUCUUAAAAAUGGAAAUGUCUGUCUCCUCCAGCUAUGCUGGCAGACAGUGUUUACCCAAAGAUCCAGAUACACAAGACCUUGUUAUCAACUGCAGCUUUUACACAACUUUCAACAAUCAGACUGGAAUGAUACACAAACCACGGGGCUGGGGGUGCUGCAGAGAGGAUGCUGGACAACCACAGCUGCAAGAAAACGCAAACUGCCAAGUUCACACCCUAGUCCACCCCAUUGGAGGAUGCUGUCUGACCAUGCUCAGGUGUCUUGUACAAAGCCUACUCCUAUUUUUUUAAUGGACUUUCCAAACCUUUCCUCCUCUUGCUGUUGCAGAGAAUUCAGUGAACAUAUUCUCCCAUUACUAUGCUUAUGAUUUAAUAGUUGUGCCACAGAGAAUGGCCUUAAAAUGGGCAGAACUGAAACCAGCACCCUGAUGUGACACAAGAUGGAAAAACCAUAUAGGACAUAUAAAAUAAGACUAAGGCUGCUUAUCUGUGCUGUAUGAACAUUGUAAAUCUACUUUUGCUUUAAUUAAUUUUAAUUUCAUCAGGUUGCAGUUGGAGUUAGAAAUUUUUCCUUUUUUUCACAGAAGGAUUCACAAGAGGAGAAGGAAGAUCUUGCCUGAUCACAAGGCUUUAAAAUUGAAAGUAGUUUUUUUAUUUUAAAAACCUGGUUUCUAACAUAAAAAGACAUCAUUUAAUAGUUCCCACAAAUACAGGGACUAGGAGCUUCUAUUAAAUGACCAGGCAUCAGUCUUAAAACAAACAAAAGAAGUAUUUUAUCCUCACAGUGCGUAAUGAAAUUACAGAACUCAUGGCCACAGGAUGGUGUGGAGGUCAAAAGUGUAAAUGGACCAUAAAAGGGAUUACAUGAAAUCAUGCAAAUGAAAUCCAUCACUAGCUACUAAACAUGAUGAUCAAGAUCCAGCCUCCAAAUCAAAAUGUCUCUGACACUGAUCCUCAGAGGGCAGGAGCACACAGGGGAAGAAGGAUUGCUCUGUAUGAGAGAUAUAUCAGAGUUCAUACACUUUUUCCCCAGACAUUUGCUCUUCUCACUCUCAGAGGGAAAGCACUGGAUAUUUUUUCUGACUCAGGGUGGCAGCUACUGCGUGUGUUCUAAAGUCUUCAAAAAUCUGAACUCAUUUUAUUUGACACUGUAUGUUUUAGAAAUGUUUCCAUUUGAAAUUCAAGAUAAUUAGGGCGAAAAGCCUGAAAAGAGUCAAACAGAGGGCAAAAAGAAAUAAAAGCACCCAGAAAAGAUGGAGUUCAGAACAUUUUUUAUGAAAGUCGUAUUUUGCCAUAGAUUUGUGCAUCAGGGUCUCAUUUUGCACUACAGAAAAAUAUUUCCAUCCAAUGAUUGCAAGAAUGGAAGCCCCCAAUACAGAAACCUAUGCAGUGCCCACCCUCCAAGGUGGCUGAGAAGCUGAAGCAACCUGACAGAACCAUCCUGUAAAUCUGAAAUGUGUCCCUGUGGCCUCUGCAGUGCUGAAAUCACUGCUCGCCUUUGCUUUCACUGCGUUGAAUAAUUUUGGCCUCUCCCUUUCUGUGUGAGUCAGGUUGUGAAAACUGAGCCUUCUCUGGCCUCCAGGAUUCAUAAACACCUGCCCCAUUAGCCCACUUUCACUAUUUGUCUAAUGACAACCACAAGUAAUGACCUGACUCAAGGCAUGUCAAUAUUCUGCCAAAAACUACCAUUUUGCCCUC